AAACGAAGCCGGAAAACAGAUUUAAACCAGUCCCUGAACCGUCAGCCUCUGUUUGUCAGUACUGUGAGGAACCUGAGUCACGGAGCCUGGAUGUUGAAACAAACUGCGGAGCUGCUGCUUUGUCGAACAUGAAUGAGGCUGGACACUGAACACACCUGCGGCGCGAAGGUGUCACCACCUCAUCCACAACAUCAUCCAUGAUCUGCGCAGGAGACUGGGGUUCCACAAUUCAGUGGCAUCGCCCGCGAUCACAGAGACAUUGUUGAUGAUCUCAGAAACAUCGUCCACAGAGACGUAGUCCACGAACAGAGAGUCUUUGAACAAUGAGGAAGUUCUUUGAGACCAGGACAGAGGCCUCCAGGUGUCACCACUUGGUCCACCACAUCAUCUUGUCAAGACGUCGUCCACGAUCGCCGAGACAUGGUCCAUGAUUGGAGAGACAUUGUUGAAGAUGAGGAUCACGAUCAGAUCAGAGACAGUGUGUGUGAUCGCAGAGACUUUGUGAAAGACGAGACAGACAUUGUUCACAGAGAUAUUGUCCAUGAUUCUUUGACGUCUUAAUAUACUGUGACAUUUUUUGAGACUUUACUAUGACAUUUUUUUCACAUUUUUGACGCCUUAGUGUACUAUGACAUUUUUUUCAUAUUUUUGACGCCUUACUAUACUAUGACAUUUUUUGACCAUUUUUGAUGCCUCACUAUACUAUGACAUUUUUUGACAUUUUUGACACCUUACUAUACUAUGACAUUUUUUUCACAUUUUUGACGCCUUACUAUACUAUGACAUUUUUUUCACAUU